AAGCCAAUCAAUCUGCUUAUCUCAGUGUUGCACAGAAAAUUAGAGAAGGCAGGCAAUGGUGAUGCCAUGUUAUGAGCCUUAAGGACAGCUGAAGUCUUUAAAGUCCCUGAAAAUGGCAACAGUA
ensembl:snoRNA